GAUGAACGCUGGCGGCGUGCCUAAUACAUGCCAGUCGAGCGAACAGACGAGGAGCUUGCUCCUCUGACGUUAGCGGCGGACGGGUGAGUAACACGUGGAUAACCUACCUAUAAGACUGGGAUAACUUCGGGAAACCGGAGCUAAUACCGGAUAAUAUAUUGAACCGCAUGGUUCAAUAGUGAAAGACGGUUUUGCUGUCACUUAUAGAUUGAUCCGCGCCGCAUUAGCUAGUUGGUAAGGUAACGGCUUACGAAGGCGACGAUGCGUAGGCGACCUGAGAGGGGGGUCGGCCACACUGGAACUGAGACACGGUCCAGACUCCUACGGGAGGCAGCAGUAGGGAAUCUGCCGCAAUGGGCGAAAGCCUGACGGAGCAACGCCGCGUGAGUGAUGAAGGUCUUCGGAUCGUAAAACUCUGUUAUUAGGGAAGAACAAAUGUGUAAGUAACUAUGCACGUCUUGACGGUACCUAAUCAGAAAGCCACGGCUAACUACGUG
rnacentral:rRNA from 1 species